AACGAACGCUGGCGGCAUGCCUAACACAUGCAAGUCGAACGAGACCUUCGGGUCUAGUGGCGCACGGGUGCGUAACGCGUGGGAACCUGCCCUUAGGUUCGGAAUAACUCCCCGAAAGGGGUGCUAAUACCGGAUAAUGUCUUCGGACCAAAGAUUUAUCGCCUUUGGAUGGGCCCGCGUUGGAUUAGCUAGUUGGUAGGGUAAAAGCCUACCAAGGCGACGAUCCAUAGCUGGUCUGAGAGGAUGAUCAGCCACACUGGGACUGAGACACGGCCCAGACUCCUACGGGAGGCAGCAGUGGGGAAUAUUGGACAAUGGGCGAAAGCCUGAUCCAGCAAUGCCGCGUGAGUGAUGAAGGCGUUAGGGUUGUAAAGCUCUUUUACCCGGGACGAUAAUGACAGUACCGGGAGAAUAAGCUCCGGCUAACUCCGUG
rnacentral:rRNA from 1 species